UGGGGGAAUAUUGCACAAUGGGCGCAAGCCUGAUGCAGCCAUGCCGCGUGUGUGAAGAAGGCCUCGGGUUGUAAAGCACUUUCAGCGAGGAGGAAGGUGGGUGAGCUUAAUACGCUCAUCAAUUGACGUUACUCGCAGAAGAAGCACCGGCUAACUCCGUGCCAGCAGCCGCGGUAAUACGGAGGGUGCAAGCGUUAAUCGGAAUUACUGGGCGUAAAGCGCACGCAGGCGGUUUGUUAAGUCAGAUGUGAAAUCCCCCGGGCUCAACCUGGGAACUGCAUUUGAAACUGGCAAGCUAGAGUCUCGUAGAGGGGGGUAGAAUUCCAGGUGUAGCGGUGAAAUGCGUAGAGAUCUGGAGGAAUACCGGUGGCGAAGGCGGCCCCCUGGACGAAGACUGACGCUCAGGUGCGAAAAGGCGUGGGG
rnacentral:rRNA from 1 species